UACGUAGGGUGCAAGCGUUAUCCGGAAUUAUUGGGCGUAAAGGGCGCGUAGGCGGCCUGGCAAGUGGAAGGUGAAAUCCCUCGGCUUAACCGAGGAACUGCCUCCCAAACUGCUUGGCUUGAGACCGGGAGAGGUGAGUGGAAUUCCCAGUGUAGCGGUGAAAUGCGUAGAUAUUGGGAGGAACACCAGUGGCGAAGGCGGCUCUCUGGGCUGUUCCUGACACUGAUGCGCGAGAGCUAGGGGAGCAAACAGG
rnacentral:rRNA from 1 species